rnacentral:rRNA from 1 species
AAACCAACAGGGAUUGCCUCAGUAACGGCGAGUGAAGCGGCAACAGCUCAAAUUUGAAAUCUCCUUCGGGCGAGUUGUAAUUUGUAGAGGAUGUUUCGGGCACCGCUCCGGGUUAAAUUUCUUGGAACAGAAUGUCAAAGAGGGUGAGAGUCCCGUCUUGGCCCGCGGUAGGACCCAUGUGAAACUCCUUCGACGAGUCGAGUUGUUUGGGAAUGCAGCUCAAAAUGGGUGGUAAAUUUCAUCUAAAGCUAAAUAUUGGCCAGAGACCGAUAGCGCACAAGUAGAGUGAUCGAAAGAUGAAAAGCACUUUGAAAAGAGAGUUAAACAGUAUGUGAAAUUGUUGAAAGGGAAGCGCUUGCAACCAGACUCGAGCGCGGCGGUUCCCCCUUGCUUCUGCUUGGGCUACUCCGUCGUGACCGGGCCAACAUCAGUUUUGGGGGCCGGUUAAAGGUCUGAGGAAUGUACCCACUCCUUCGGGUUUGGACUUAUAGCCUCGGGCGUCAUGCGGCCUCCCGGGACUGAGGAACGCGCUUCGGCGAGGAUGUUGGCGUAAUGGUUGUAAGCGAC